rnacentral:tRNA from 1 species
CAGAAAAUAUUAUAUGAAGUAUAAGGAUUUUGGGGAUCUUAGGAGAUUAUUCUUUUCUGA